rnacentral:rRNA from 1 species
AUUGAACGCUGGCGGCAGGCUUAACACAUGCAAGUCGAGCGGAGAUGAGGUGCUUGCACCUUAUCUUAGCGGCGGACGGGUGAGUAAUGCUUAGGAAUCUGCCUAUUAGUGGGGGACAACAUUCCGAAAGGAAUGCUAAUACCGCAUACGUCCUACGGGAGAAAGCAGGGGAUCUUCGGACCUUGCGCUAAUAGAUGAGCCUAAGUCGGAUUAGCUAGUUGGUGGGGUAAAGGCCUACCAAGGCGACGAUCUGUAGCGGGUCUGAGAGGAUGAUCCGCCACACUGGGACUGAGACACGGCCCAGACUCCUACGGGAGGCAGCAGUGGGGAAUAUUGGACAAUGGGGGGAACCCUGAUCCAGCCACGCCGCGUGUGUGAAGAGGGCCUUAUGGUUGUAAAGCACUUUAAGCGAGGAGGAGGCUACUGAGACUAAUACUCUUGGAUAGUGGACGUUACUCGCAGAAUAAGCACCGGCUAACUCUGUGCCAGCCGCCGCCGUAAGAC